GGAAAAUCUUUCUGCAAAUAUAUGUUUUGGAAAUGCUGGAUUCAGGGAAACUCAGUUGCUAAUCUCCCAAUGGUUUAUGCUUCCAAUGUGUGGCCUUAAACUGAGUGUUAGAUUGGCAUCGAGUUGCUUGCGAUCUUUCUGCAAAUAUGUCAUAUAUGCUAAAGAUCAUGUGUGUGGGUUCAUAUGUCGUGUUGGAACAACAUUGCAGGGAUCUUCAGA
rnacentral:misc_RNA from 1 species